rnacentral:rRNA from 3 species
AGAAGUCGUAACAAGGUUUCGGUAGGUGAACCUGCGGAAGGAUCAUUG